GACAGAGGAUGCAAACGUUGCUCGGAAUUACUGGGCGUAAAGCGCGCGCAGGCGGUUUCGUAAGUCGGGUGUGAAAGCCCCGGGCUUAACCCGGGAAGUGCAUUCGAUACUGCGGGACUAGAGUACUGGAGAGGAGAGCGGAAUUCCCGGUGUAGAGGUGAAAUUCGUAGAUAUCGGGAGGAACACCAGUGGCGAAGGCGGCUCUCUGGACAGAUACUUACGAUGAGGCGCGAAAGCGUGGGAAGCAAACAGG
rnacentral:rRNA from 1 species